GCGGGGGUGCCACUCGGAGGAGCCUUUGAGUCCUGGGCAUCCUCAAGUUGGUGACCGGGGAAAAAGGGGAUACCUUUCAGUGUCGCCCUACGGUGGGAGCUGAGGAGGUCCCUUUUAGAAGCAAAGGAGAAACAAACAGAUGCCCUCUGACAUCGCUGGAGCUCUGCAGGCCCCUCCGAGGGGACCAUGGGAGCAGGAGCUGUUUUCUUGGAAAACCACCUAGAAUAAAUGUUACCCUGUCACAGUCUCUUA